GCAUCAACAGGAGGGGAUAAAAGCUUGGGCUAAAGAACAAGAAGGGCAGACAUUUACAGCCUUCUGAAGUGGUGAAUGUUACUCUGUAUGAGCUGAUGCCUGAAGCCUUCUGAAGAGGGAAAGGCACCCUCGGGCAGAUAGAAUGGAGAAGUUUAAUCCCAGGUGGAGGCCACAGGAUGUUCUAAUCAGCAGAAAGUCAAGGGUGGUUAUGGUAAAAACUGUGGGCACCUGCACAAGAGAGACUGAAACACUUCCUUGGAGUGCCGUGAGAAGGAGCCCCACAAUACUCCAGAUGAUACUGACACGGAAAAAAAUUCCCUUUGUAUGGGGCUGACUUGUUCUUCUGUUACAGGAGGGCUUUCAGCUGCACCGGGUGAAACCCUGUGGGUUCUGCACUGGGGAGAGCUCACCUCAGUGCAGUGAGAGCUUAAAGCACUUGCCUGCAGCUCUGUGUCAAAUAACUAAGAGCAGAACAAGUGAAAUAAAUUGAAAAAGGUCA